rnacentral:rRNA from 1 species
UACAGAGGUCUCAAGCGUUGUUCGGAUUCAUUGGGCGUAAAGCGUGCGCAGGCGGCUUUGCAAGACAGAUGUGAAAGCCCCGGGCUCAACCUGGGAAUUGCAUUUGAGACUGCGUAGCUAGGGUGCGGAAGAGGGAAGCGGAAUUUCCGGUGUAGCGGUGAAAUGCGUAGAUAUCGGAAGGAACACCAGUGGCGAAAGCGGCUUCCUGGUCCAGCACCGACGUUCAGGCACGAAAGCGUGGGGAGCAAACAGG